UGGAUCCAGACUUUGAUUAUGGCUCAGGAUGAACGCUAGCUACAGGCUUAACACAUGCAAGUCGAGGGGAAACGAUAGAGAAAGCUUGCUUUUUCUAGGCGUCGACCGGCGCACGGGUGAGUAACGCGUAUCCAACCUGCCCACCACUUGGGAAUAACCUUGCGAAAGUAAGACUAAUACCCAAUGAUAUCUCUAGAAGACAUCUGAAGGAGAUUAAAGAUUUAUCGGUGAUGGAUGGGGAUGCGUCUGAUUAGCUUGUUGGCGGGGUAACGGCCCACCAAGGCGACGAUCAGUAGGGGUUCUGAGAGGAAGGUCCCCCACAUUGGAACUGAGACACGGUCCAAACUCCUACGGGAGGCAGCAGUGAGGAAUAUUGGUCAAUGGACGAGAGUCUGAACCAGCCAAGUAGCGUGCAGGAUGACGGCCCUAUGGGUUGUAAACUGCUUUUAUAAGGGAAUAAAGUGAGAGUCGUGACUCUUUUUGCAUGUACCUUAUGAAUAAGGACCGGCUAAUUCCGUGCCAGCAGCCGCGGUAAUACGGAAGGUCCGGGCGUUAUCCGGAUUUAUUGGGUUUAAAGGGAGCGUAGGCCGGAGAUUAAGCGUGUUGUGAAAUGUAGAUGCUCAACGUCUGCACUGCAGCGCGAACUGGUUUCCUUGAGUACGCACAAAGUGGGCGGAAUUCGUGGUGUAGCGGUGAAAUGCUUAGAUAUCACGAAGAACUCCGAUUGCGAAGGCAGCUCACUGGAGCGCAACUGACGCUGAAGCUCGAAAGUGCGGGUAUCGAACAGGAUUAGAUACCCUGGUAGUCCGCACGGUAAACGAUGGAUGCCCGCUGUUGGUCUGAAUAGGUCAGCGGC
rnacentral:rRNA from 1 species